GACGAACGCUGGCGGCGUGCUUAACACAUGCAAGUCGAACGGUGAACGAGGGAGCUUGCUCCCUCCGGAUCAGUGGCGAACGGGUGAGUAACACGUGAGCAACCUGCCCCUAACUCUGGGAUAAGCUCUGGAAACGACGUCUAAUACCGGAUACGACGCUGGAGGGCAUCCUCUCCUCGUGAAAAGAACUUCUGUUCGGGCUGAGCUCGCGGCCUAUCAGCUUGUUGGUGAGGUAACGGCUCACCAAGGCGACGACGGGUAGCCGGCCUGAGAGGGUGACCGGCCACACUGGGACUGAGACACGGCCCAGACGCCUACGGGAGGCAGCAGUGGGGAAUAUUGCACAAUGGGCGCAAGCCUGAUGCAGCAACGCCGCGUGAGGGACGACGGCCUUCGGGUUGUAAACCUCUUUUAGCAGGGAAGAAGCGAAAGUGACGGUACCUGCAGAAAAAGCACCGGCUAACUACGUG
rnacentral:rRNA from 1 species